rnacentral:tRNA from 1 species
AGCAGUAGCUCAACUGGAUAGAGUAACGGACUACGAAUCCGUCGGUUGGGGGUUCGAAUCCCUUCUGCUGC